GCCGGGCGCGGUGGCUCAAGCCUGUAAUCCCAGCACUUUGGGAGGCCGAGACGGGCGGAUCACAAGGUCAGGAGAUAGAGACCAUCCUGGCUAACACGGUGAAACCCUGUCUCUACUAAAAAAANUUUUAGUAGAGACGGGGUUUCACCGUGUUAGCCAGGAUGGUCUCGAUCUCCUGACCUCGUGAUCCGCCCGUCUCGG
rnacentral:SRP_RNA from 1 species